GAUGAACGCUGGCGGCGUGCUUAACACAUGCAAGUCGAACGGUGAAGGCGGAGCUUGCUCUGCUGGAUCAGUGGCGAACGGGUGAGUAACACGUGAGCAAUCUGCCCCUGACUCUGGGAUAAGCGCUGGAAACGGCGUCUAAUACUGGAUACGAGCUGCUAAGGCAUCUUCAGCAGCUGGAAAUAAUUUCGGUCAGGGAUGAGCUCGCGGCCUAUCAGCUUGUUGGUGAGGUAACGGCUCACCAAGGCGUCGACGGGUAGCCGGCCUGAGAGGGUGACCGGCCACACUGGGACUGAGACACGGCCCAGACUCCUACGGGAGGCAGCAGUGGGGAAUAUUGCACAAUGGGCGAAAGCCUGAUGCAGCAACGCCGCGUGAGGGACGACGGCCUUCGGGUUGUAAACCUCUUUUAGCAGGGAAGAAGCGAAAGUGACGGUACCUGCAGAAAAAGCGCCGGCUAACUACGUG
rnacentral:rRNA from 1 species